rnacentral:lncRNA from 1 species
GAAACCGCCUUGACUCUGCCCCAUGGGUCGGUCUGUCGGUCGGUCGGUCGUUCAUGGAAUGUGGUGCGUGGAGUGGGUUGCGUUGUUCUUGGAGGGCAUUCGAGGCAGCACUGUGAAGUCGUGAGGGCGGUGCGUGGGGUUUUCGAAUUGGUGGAAUCGUGGAUUGAGCGGGAUUCAGCUGCUGCACGGACGCGGAUGCCGUUUGCGAUCGUGUGCAGUGACUGACGUAGUGGAAAUCUGUCCUUUGGGUUGGCAAGGCAGGAAAGAUGGCGGCAGCUGUGUCGAGGAGCGUGGUGCCGGUGGGGUCUGCAGCGGUGGCAGCGGCUUCACCGUGUUCGCAGGCGUCGUCGAGGAAUCACGUGAGCAUGGGGUGGAGCAACGCGAGCAGCCGGUUCGCCGGUUUGCAAGCCAGCAGCCGGGGCAGCGUGAAGGCAGGGUACACCGUGACGCUGAAGACGAAGGAUGCGGGGGACGUGACGUUCGAGGUGGACGGGUCGACGUACAUCUUGGAUGCCGCGGAGGAGGCGGGAGUGGACCUUCCGUACUCGUGCCGAGCCGGUGCGUGCUCGACGUGCGCGGGGCAAAUCAAGGAGGGCACGGUGGACCAGUCGGACGGGUCAUUCCUGGACGACGAGCAAAUGGAGAAGGGGUUCGUGCUGACGUGCGUGGCGUACCCGACGUCGGACCUGGUGAUCGAGACUCACAAGGAGGAGGACCUGCAGUAGUAGUGUAGCGAGUGUAGGGGGGAGGGCAGCGAGUAGCAUGGGCCGUAGAAGUUGCCGGAGACGGCGGAGGGAGCGAGGCGCAGGUGCAAUGCGCUUGGAGGUGGAGUGGAGCACAUGAUGCGACGGUGGCGGUGUGGGAUGCACGUGCGUGCGGAGAGUCGGUGGAGGGUAGCAGCAGGUGCAGUGGUGAUUUAUUGGGGGAUGGCAGAGGGUGAGGGGGCCGGGUUGGCGUAUGAGGAUGGGUGGAGUUGGAGAUACGGGUAGGAUGCUCGCAAGUGAGGUUAGCAGUAGGCGAGGAUGUUGAUAGACUUGUGGGGAAUAAAAAGAGUAAAAUUUUUAUGAAGGAGCGAAGCGGAUGUGGAUGUGUGCAGAUGGCGUUGCAUGUGGAGUGGGAGGAUGGCAAUGGUGUGGCAGUGCGAGGGAGUGUGAGUGCGAACAUACCAUGUAUUUGAUGCAGAGCUGUGAUGGUGGUGAUGAAGUGAGUGAGGUGGCAGAUGGGUGUGUAUGUGAGGAGUUUGGGAUGAUGUGUGUAUGGACUGCUGGUUUGUGGAAGUCAAAGCUCUCGGGUUUAUUGCCCUUGUAUAUGUUGUUGGAUACACAGGAAAAUGACUUUUUUGUUUAGUUCAUUGACUCGAAUGGGCUUCUUUCUUUGAUUGGAUGGUUGGUAUGGUGACAAUUCUACGUGUAUCACAUUACCCUGUUGGAUCGACUGGAAGUUCGUGGAACCUACCGAUUCAUCCUUGAAAGAUUCCAUGCUUGUUUAGACAGCUACGAGGGACUGUUACAUUCUACAAGAAUGUAAUUUGUCCUUUUAGGCACCAGAAUGUUGGUUGCCAUCUUCGAUCUUCUCGACGGUCUUAGGAAGCUUUUGGUGAAAUUUAGGCUUUUUGAAAUUCUUUUUUGUGUUGUUUUCAUGGGUAUCCUGUAUUAGUCAAUUUCUGUCCACAAGCCUUGGUGUUGUUUGUCAAUGUCUUAUUGUUAAACGAUUUUGGAGCGCUCAAAAUCCAUAUUUCCCACGUUCAUAAAUCUCAUUCUUAACGAACUUUGGAUUAUGCUGAAUCCGUAUUUCCCACAUUUAUACACCUCUAAUAAGGACCAUAUUAUUUUCAAUCUUUUAAAUUUGGUAAUUGGUUUGACCACAAACAUUGGUUGUUCCCAUGAGAGUCCUUCACAUUCCAACAGGACUAGAAGCAGUGGAUCGUGUAUUUGCUGUUCGGUCCGUUGGGCGGACUUGUAACUUAGUGAUGGCAAUGCGCGGGUUAAGCAAUUGCGCUUGUGUUUUUCUGUCGGAUCGUGUCUCUUUGAAACAGGAAAUGCACACGGGGGUUGCAAUGCUCAUGAAGUUUACAAUUGGGGGCAACGUUGCAUCCGUUUAAUUGAGCCUGUGGGCAUGGGGGCAACUGACGCGGAUUCGCAUAUAGGAGAAUUACUGAACUUCGGAAAGGCUACAACAGCAACUGUGAUAUUUGAACACAAGUCUGCAGCUAGUCAUCCAUGGUGUAACCUGUGCUAUGCAUUGAAUAUGCAUGCAUUGCCUUGUUGUUGCGAUCAUAGCAUCAGCUUUAGGGUGGAGGAAGAUUGAGAGUUGUUUGUCACUUAAUUCAAAAGGACAUUUACGGUGAGACGACGACACCUAAGUGGCUACCCGAGGCUAUGGAGGUGGGCGUCUCUUGCCCGCUUACACUGCAAUUAGGGCAUCUUAGGUUUCAGGUUGGGAUCAGCAUGCAUAUAGUCCCCUCACGACCCGCUGCAGUGAUUUGAGUAUCUGGGGUCAGUGUCGCAUACUGCUCCACCCAAAUUUUGCGCUCCAGGUUGAAUCCUUCCUUACGAAAUUGACUGCCCGCCGCAGACAUGACCUGGUUCAGCCCCGACGUGAACUCGAGGAUGCACCACAAAAUCCUGCCGCAUCUCACAAGUGGCUCCUCCACAGUCAUCCUGAGACAACAGUUGAGCAGUGAGGAUACCCUAGACAUCGCCGAACAGCAUCAUUUGCCCCAAUUCCGACCUUAAGCCCGUAUUGAUCUGGGAAAGGAAGAUGCCCUGCUGCACUUGCCUGUCUCUCAGGCUUUGACCCAAUAAUUUAUCCAAAUCGGGCCAGCCCCUGCGACCGGUUGGAUACCCAAUAAGCUUUGCAGUUCUGUUAUUUAUUUUUAGUCAUCUCUUGUAAAAUUGUAGGUUAGACUGUUGAGGGACAUGAGAUGCAAUGCCUCAAAAAAUAUGUUUAAUUACCUACUUCGUGGAAGAAAAAGAAACUGUAUUCUUAUUUGAUCUAUGAUUCGACAUAUUACAACGAACGAUAGGAUGAUUCCUAUUUGUUGGGAAGGCAAAUCUAAGACAAGAUUUCUUUUUUUCUUUUUUUCUUCAUAGGAACAUACAUUCUAGUAAAAAUUCUUCUACUUGUAAUAAUGUAUUGGAAAAAUGCAAAGAUUUGCAUCUUUUAAAUCCAUGACUUUAAUAAAAAGAUGAAUUCUUGCAAAGAUAUAUCCAACCCACCUAAGAACCAAACAUUAGAGUUAGAUCAAAUUAGGAGAGGACAAUAAAUAACCACUCAAGAAAAGAUGGCUAGCCACCAUAAAUUUGACAAGCAAUGUAAGUAUACAAAACGAUUGUACUGAAUAUACUUAUAUAUAUAUAUAUAUAUAAAAUUUUAAUUUUGAUUGAAUCAAAGUCUAUUUUGUGGUGCAUGUGUAUUAUAUUAUUUUUGUUUUGUUUUAUCCUACUUUUGCCUUCUAUUUUCUAAUUAGAGUUAAGUUGUGUAUGGUGUGGUUCAACAUUAUGGUCAAUGCAGAAUCCUUCUUAAUAAUUAUUAUUUCCACAAUUUAUUAACAUUUUCAAAAGCAAUUGUGUGGAGUUAGUAUUGCAUAUCAACAUUUGAAAGUGAUCAAUAAAUCUUCAUUAAAUUCAUAACAUUAUUUAUCUAAGUUCCAAAUUGUUGCACAAUAGACCAACAUAUGUUUGGAGUGCUAAAAUCCAAUCAUAAGAGUUAAUUUAAAGAGGUUCCAAAAUUUAGACAAGAAACAAUAAGUUUUUGUCCCCUCUCCUUUUUAACUUUGUACAUUUCUAAUCAUAAUAAUUAUGUUGGUAAAAAGUCUUUUUGGUUGCUAUAAUAUUUAAUUUCAAUAAAUUUUAAUUAAUAAUAUGAACUUGCUAUCAAUAUAGUUAAUUCAAUCAAAUCAUAAAAAUAUUUAUGAUUUAAUAAAUAAUUUAAUAAAUUUUUAGUGCACCAUUUUAUAAUUCAUUAUUAUUACUACUUUAAAACAAAGUACUUGUACUAUAACUACAUAAUAUAACAAUGUUAACAAUUCAUUAGAAAUAAAACAAUCUAAUUUAUUUAAUUUCAAAUAUAAACGUGAAAAAUCAAUAUAUUUAAGUAAUAUGUUUAUCCAUGACAACCUUUCUUCUUUAAAAAACAAAUAUUACAAGCAAUGAUUAAGUCAUUUCAUAAAUUAAUAAAUUCUAAGAUUUUUCAAAAAAUCUUAGUAAUAAGUUUUGAUCUAUGUUUUUUAUAAAAAUAGUUGAUAGAUUCUUUUGGAAAUUAAUAUGGUUGCAUAUUAGGACAAGGAAAUAACCUUUUAUUUGAUUAUUAUUAAAUCUUUCUUCACUACCUUUAAAUAACUCAUUUUGCAUGCCAUAAAUAUAAUAUCUAUCUUUAAUGAUAAAUUUAGGUAUCAAGAGUCUAUUCAAAUAUUGUAGUGCCAUAUAUUUUUUAUCUUAAUCAUUAAUUUAAAAUAAUACAUUUAUUUCACAUAAAAACUUGAUUUUUAUUUUAAUUUUAUAAAGAUUAGACAAUUUGAAUGUUUUAUCAAGAUAUUAUACAAAUGAUAACUCUUAAUAUAAAUUUGUUGGUUAUUUGUUUUCCUUGUUGGAAUGAAGUUUUGAAAGUUGAUUUAUAAAUUUACUUUUUAAAUUAAUAUUAUGUUGUUAUCAAUAAUAAGUAAUUGAUUUUGAUAUAAUUUUUGGUAAAAAUAAAAAUAUAAAUAAUGAUACAUUUUUAAGAUUUUCACAUACUAUUUAUAUAUAUUUAUUAAUAUUAUAUCUUUUUUAAUAUAUAUUACAUUCCAAUAUAUUUCUAGACAGCCUUCAAUCUAAGAAGUCUUUGUCAUUAUUUGUUUUAAUAAGGAAUAAUGGUAAUUUCUUUCUUCUUGGUAUGUUUAUUGUUCUAUAAGAUUCAAUAAAUAAAUAAAUAAAAUAUAUGAUGAAUCUUUAUUGAUUGUGGUAGUUGAUGUAAUUACUAUACAAUUAAAUUGAUCUUCUUUUUGGAUAAAAAAAGUCAAGACUUCUAUAAUCCAACUUGUCAUAAAAUCAACUAACCUUAAUAUUAAAAAAUAAAAUAAAAUAAAAUAACCAUGUUUUAUAACCAACUUUAUUUGAAGAUAAUAAAUUCAAAAGAUUCCUCCACAAUCUUAAUACAAACUAAAGCUUCCAAUGUUUUAGUAUCUUAUUUACAUUCUUCUAUAUUCUUAGAAGAUAUAAAAAUAUUAUUUUAAAUAGAUUUGAAAAAAAAAAAAAAUGAAAUGCAAAAAAUGUGCCAUUAAUCAAAUGCUAGAAAGUAGCUCAAGUGUUUGUAAGUUCGAAAGGCUUGGCAUUACAUUCAAAAUUAUUGUACAUAGUUUUAAAUUUAUACUUCUAUUAAAUUUUUAUUCUAUAUAUAUAUAUAUAUAUAUAUAUAUAUUUGAUUUUAGACUUCUUCUAGAUCUAUCUUGGUAUAGAUCUAAGGUUUACUUGAUUAAUUAUAAAUUCAUAGUAUUAAUAAUAAACAAAAUAACAAUGAUUAAUGGUUAAAUAAUUAAAUUUAUAAUAAUCUAUAUAAUUUUAUAAAGAUCUAUUUUCACAAAGAAAAUUUGUACAUUUCCAAUUUUUUUUUUGAAUAUUGGAUUAAAAAAAUUCAAGUUAUUUAUUAACAUGUUUCUUUAAAUGAAUAUUUUAUUAAUUAAAAAAUUAUAAAUUGAUCUAAAAGAUUGAUUAGUUCAUGAAAUAAGAAUUAAUUGAACAAUUAUAAGAUCAAAUUUUUGAUAAUUUAUUAGCAAUAUAUUUUCAAUCACAUCUUAAUAACUUUUAUAUGAUUGUAGAAUUCUAGUACAAUCUCUACUUUUCAUGCUUAUAUAAAUGACUCAAUUGUAAUAAAUAUAGAUUAAGAUGAUUUCUUGACUUUUAAACAAAGUUUUAAAAUGAUAUUUUGUAAUUUUCAAUGGAUAUUAUGACCAUGUAAUUUAAACCAAAGAAGUAAAGUACCACCAUAUUUGGAAAAUAUUUAAUGAUAUUGAAAAUUGUAAUCAAUAUUUAAUCUUCUAACAUUGCUUUUAAAUAGUUUGGUUUCUUCCAUAAAAUCUCCAAAUGGUAAUGGUUGUCAAUCAAUAACCUUCAUUAGACUUGAUGCACUCUAUUUUAAGACUUCCAAUUUGUAUUGUAAUACAAGAUUCUUAUUUAUAUAACAACUUGAGAUUGUAAUAUUUAAAAGAAUUAAAGUUCAAAUUCAUAACAAGAAGUAUUAAUAAUUAUAAUAAGUAAGAAAUUGUAGAAUCUAGUGGUAGCAUGGGACCUAUAAUUGUUAGUUGUGGUAUCAUGAAAGAGAUUUUCUACUAGAAAUAACAAAUUAAUGGCUAAACCUUAAUUGCUUUAAUAAAAAUAAGUAGAAGUCAUAAAACUAGAUUUAAAAACUACUUUCAAUUAAGCAAUAUUUAUUUUAUAAGAAAGAAAAAAACUAAUAUUGAACUCUAAGCGUGUUUGUUCUAGUCUUUUUAUUUAAUUUCCAGGAGAAAAACAAUAGCAUCAUCCACAUUUCAUACACAAAUCAUCGAGAUGCGAUUGGGGGUGACCUGAGGGAGGGAGUUCGUUCCCGACAUCCCCAAACUGAAGACGAGCUCUCAAACGAAGAAGACGAAGAACGAAUGCAAGGAUAAAGGGCAGCAGCAGCAGCAGCGCCUCAACAACUUCGUCCACGGGCACCACAAAAUGCAUCUCUGGGCAGCCAAGGCGCGUGCCGUGAAGUGAAGCUCGUCGCCGCAUAGCUGGCCCCAUUAGGGCACCCAGACAGCACAGCAGCAGCAAAGCGAGCCAGGGCCACCAUCCACCCAUCCAUACAUUCAUCCAUACCCUGCCCUGCCCGGCCCUUCCCAAGGCUUUGAUGCUACUUCCAAUUAUUUAGAAUCUCAGCUGCCCGGACCAUUACCACGGGCUGCCCUCUCGACGCUGCCCGCAGAGCCGUCAAUGCUGCAAAGCCGUAAGUAAAGCACCGCCCAGCGUGUCCCAAUGCCGACUACCCUGCUUCUUCAUCUGUGUUCGUGUUCUCGCUCGCAUCGGAGCCGUUGGUUCCGAAUUCUAACUAUCUGCACGAUCCAUCUCGACUCAGAACUCGGUGUUGUCCCGUUUGUGCGACUGUCCUGAUUUUGUCUCUUGGUUGUCGCGCAGUCGGCGGGUGUGUGCGAUCGUCGCAUUUCAACAGCGGGCCGGUCGCGCUUGGUGCAGGAGCGUGUGUUUGUGUGUGUAACUGUGUGUGUGUCUCGGGUGGUGUGGGCGGCUCCCCUCAAGCCUUCGCUCUUGAAAGCCUAACUAUUCAGGUUGGUAUGCAGUCCCGUGUUCUGAGUUUCCUGUUCUCUACGGUUAGCCCAGGGUCAGUUUCCGAUGGCAGGUUGGGUAUUUGUGUGGUGUGAUUUAUGAUGCGAGAGUGAGAGAUGGUGUGAUUUUAGGGUGGAGACGAAUGGGAGUCCCGCGUGUUGGAUUCCAGUAUCAUCGAGGUUGCUAUUUUCUUCUGUAUGUCGCCUCGCCGCCUUGGUCUGUGUCGGCGUUCUUGAUGCCUCGGGAGGUUGGGGGAAUUGAACGUGGAUCGCCACGCAUCACGGAUCCUCAGUUGGUUGCCUGGUGAAACCGCCUUGACUCUGCCCCAUGGGUCGGUCUGUCGGUCGGUCGGUCGUUCAUGGAAUGUGGUGCGUGGAGUGGGUUGCGUUGUUCUUGGAGGGCAUUCGAGGCAGCACUGUGAAGUCGUGAGGGCGGUGCGUGGGGUUUUCGAAUUGGUGGAAUCGUGGAUUGAGCGGGAUUCAGCUGCUGCACGGACGCGGAUGCCGUUUGCGAUCGUGUGCAGUGACUGACGUAGUGGAAAUCUGUCCUUUGGGUUGGCAAGGCAGGAAAGAUGGCGGCAGCUGUGUCGAGGAGCGUGGUGCCGGUGGGGUCUGCAGCGGUGGCAGCGGCUUCACCGUGUUCGCAGGCGUCGUCGAGGAAUCACGUGAGCAUGGGGUGGAGCAACGCGAGCAGCCGGUUCGCCGGUUUGCAAGCCAGCAGCCGGGGCAGCGUGAAGGCAGGGUACACCGUGACGCUGAAGACGAAGGAUGCGGGGGACGUGACGUUCGAGGUGGACGGGUCGACGUACAUCUUGGAUGCCGCGGAGGAGGCGGGAGUGGACCUUCCGUACUCGUGCCGAGCCGGUGCGUGCUCGACGUGCGCGGGGCAAAUCAAGGAGGGCACGGUGGACCAGUCGGACGGGUCAUUCCUGGACGACGAGCAAAUGGAGAAGGGGUUCGUGCUGACGUGCGUGGCGUACCCGACGUCGGACCUGGUGAUCGAGACUCACAAGGAGGAGGACCUGCAGUAGUAGUGUAGCGAGUGUAGGGGGGAGGGCAGCGAGUAGCAUGGGCCGUAGAAGUUGCCGGAGACGGCGGAGGGAGCGAGGCGCAGGUGCAAUGCGCUUGGAGGUGGAGUGGAGCACAUGAUGCGACGGUGGCGGUGUGGGAUG